rnacentral:rRNA from 1 species
GACGAACGCUGGCGGCGUGCCUAAUACAUGCAAGUCGAACGAAGCUGUUUUAACUGGUGCUUGCACCGACUUAAACAACUGAGUGGCGAACGGGUGAGUAACACGUGGGUAACCUGCCCCAAAGCGGGGGAUAACAUUUAGAAACAGAUGCUAAUACCGCAUAACCACAGAAACCACAUGGUUUCUGUGUCAAAGAUGGUUUCGGCUAUCACUUUGGGAUGGACCCGCGGCGUAUUAGCUAGUUGGUAAGGUAAUGGCUUACCAAGGCAAUGAUACGUAGCCGAACUGAGAGGUUGAUCGGCCACAUUGGGACUGAGACACGGCCCAAACUCCUACGGGAGGCAGCAGUAGGGAAUCUUCCACAAUGGACGAAAGUCUGAUGGAGCAACGCCGCGUGAGUGAAGAAGGUUUUCGGAUCGUAAAGCUCUGUUGUCAGAGAAGAACGUGUGCGAGAGUAACUGCUCGUGCAGUGACGGUAUCUGGCCAGAAAGCCACGGCUAACUACGUGCCAGCCGCCGCAGAA